rnacentral:rRNA from 1 species
UACGUAGGGGGCAAGCGUUGUCCGGAAUCAUUGGGCGUAAAGAGCGUGUAGGCGGCCCGGUAAGUCCGCUGUGAAAGUCCAGGGCUCAACCUCGAGCUGUCGGUGGAAACUUUCUGGCUAGAGUCCGGAAGAGGAGAAUGGAAUUCCUGGUGUAGCGGUGAAAUGCGCAGAUAUCAGGAAGAACACCCGUGGCGAAGGCGGUUCUCUGGGACGGUACUGACGCUGAGACGCGAAAGCGUGGGGAGCGAACAGG